GUUCGCAAGUUAGUUACAGUAUGUUUCAGGCGGAAUAUCAUGUUCAGAGCUAAGCACAUACCGGGCAUUAAAAACUCUUUGGCUGACGCUUUGUCCCGUCAACAGGUUUCCACCUUCAAGCAGUUGGCACCAGCCUCCAUGCCCCCAUGCCCUACCACUAUCCCUGUACAUCUGUUACAACAAAAUUGGUUAAUAUAGUGUCCAAGUUGAUAAAAUCUAGCUUACAGCCCUCCUCUGUUCCCACAUAUAGGAGGGCAUGGAACCUUUUUCGCUUGUUUUUGAGUUCCAUUUUUCAACAUGCAGUCGUUACACUGCCCAUCUCCCCUUCUAGGAUGGCUCUUUUCAUUCCUUAUCUUUACGACAGUGAACACUUAUGUUUCCGCAAUUGGCUACACCCACAAGCUUUAUCAACUUCCCGAUCCAUCCAAAGCCUUUUUUGUGUUACAACUAUUACGUGGUUACAAUAAGGUUGUUUUUCGUAUGGAUGCUAGACUGCCAAUUACUUUGCCAAUAUUACACAAAUUGUUUUCUGCUUCCCCUCACGUUUGUAGCUGUCCUUAUCAAACUGCUAGGUUUAAGGCGAUGUGUGCUAUGGCUUUCUUCAACUUUUUACGUGUGGGGGACUUCAAACAACUGUGUUUCUGUCUUGCAACUUGCAACAACCUUGUUACGCUGGUUGAUACUGCGAAGAGUUCUGUAUAUGGUUUAAAAAUUACAUUUGGGGAUUUUAAACAUCGCUAUAACCAAACCCCAUUUUCCAUCACUAUCAGUCGUCAACAGCAUCCUUGUCCAGUUGAUAUUAUCUUGGAUUACUUGAGAAUGAGAGGCUCUCGGCCUGGGCCAUUGUUUCUCACAAUGUCGGGUGGAACAGUAUCAAGCGACAAUUUUUGCAAUUCUCUAGCAUCUGCUUUAAAAUUUUGCGGCUUAGAUUCCUCCAGGUACAAAGGGCAUAGCUUCCGCAUAGGCCCUGCAUCUCAUGCAGCAGAGAAAGGCAUAUCAGAGACACAAAUACGCCUGCUAGGGCGAAGGAAAUCUAAUGCUUUCCUUAAAUACAUCCGAGUUCUAAGUCUUGCAACUUAGCCUGCAUUCAGUAGGGGCCACAAUGUAUAUUCUUGGAAUAGCCUGCAGGGGCAGUAUUCCCGUUGAGAUUCAUAAUGAGCAUAGCAACAUUAAAUAACUACUUUGAGUGAAAUUAUUUACAAACUGGGGCAGCGCCCACUAUAGAUUUAUUAUAGUUACAAUUUUAAUAAUAAUUGGUAUUUACUAAACCUCCAAAUGGGGUGUCCUGCAGGGGCAGCACCUUCUUGUUUAUACUCACUUUAGAAAUUCCUGUAUACUAUUGUCCAUUAUUAAUAUCUUUAGAUAGGUGUCCUGCAGGGGCAGCACCUGCUACUUUUAUACUUACUAUAGAAAUAUGUGUACACUCUAUUAUAGUUACGUUUUAAUAAUAAUUGGUAUUUACGGUACCUCAAAAUUGGGUGUCCUGCAGGGGCAGCGCCUACUAGUGUUCCAGUUACGAUAUCUUCAGUACUGCAUGGCCUUGGGUGGGGCGGGAUAGUUCCUAUCCAAGAAACCAUGCUUUGGCGUUUUGUAUGCCCACACCUUUGCUUGGGCGUAUUUAUAGUAUUGAAUAAAUUGUAAUUUUGAUAUUUGGAUUGAAUAAACAGGAUAUGGGGAUGUGCCCAUAGCCAUUUAAUGCCAAACAUGUGUGAUGUAUUGCCCAGUAAACAGAGCUAAGGUCAUGCAGUACCCAGGGAUUAUAUUCAACUUAUGAGAGAAAUACAUAAAUGAAAUAUUUGUCUACAAA